rnacentral:lncRNA from 1 species
UAAGAAAAUGAAUGUGAUGAACCUUUUAUCUUCCAAUAAAAAAUAGCUUCACUUUGUAUAUUAGGUACUCUUUAGUGGUUUUAAUUACUAGUAGUACUACACAAGUUCUUCAAAUCUUGUUCUUUGAAAAUGUGAAUGUUUUGACUUGAAUGUAUAUGAUAUGUAUUUUUGCGUUUUAGAUGUAUGUUUUGUCAGAAUCUUGGUUAUAAUGAAUAAUUUUCUUAUACCUAUAUGAAGC